rnacentral:rRNA from 1 species
GACAGAGGGUGCAAACGUUGUUCGGAAUUACUGGGCGUAAAGCGCGUGUAGGCGGCCCUGCAAGUCGGGUGUGAAAUCCCACGGCUCAACCGUGGAAGUGCACUCGAAACUGCAGGGCUAGAGUCCUGGAGAGGAAGGUGGAAUGCUUGGUGUAGAGGUGAAAUUCGUAGAUAUCGGAAGGAACACCUGUGGCGAAAGCGGCUCACUGGACCAUAACUGACGCUGAGGCGCGAAAGCUAGGGGAGCAAACAGG